rnacentral:rRNA from 1 species
GACGAACGCUGGCGGCGUGCUUAACACAUGCAAGUCGAACGAAGAGCGACGGAAGCUUGCUUCUAUCAAUCUUAGUGGCGAACGGGUGAGUAACGCGUAAUCAACCUGCCCUUCAGAGGGGGACAACAGUUGGAAACGACUGCUAAUACCGCAUACGAUCUAAUCUCGGCAUCGAGGAUGGAUGAAAGGUGGCCUCUACAUGUAAGCUAUCACUGAAGGAGGGGAUUGCGUCUGAUUAGCUAGUUGGAGGGGUAACGGCCCACCAAGGCGAUGAUCAGUAGCCGGUCUGAGAGGAUGAACGGCCACAUUGGGACUGAGACACGGCCCAGACUCCUACGGGAGGCAGCAGUGGGGAAUCUUCCGCAAUGGACGAAAGUCUGACGGAGCAACGCCGCGUGAGUGAUGACGGCCUUCGGGUUGUAAAGCUCUGUUAAUCGGGACGAAAGGCCUUCUUGCGAAUAGUGAGAAGGAUUGACGGUACCGGAAUAGAAAGCCACGGCUAACUACGUG